ensembl:snRNA U6 U6 spliceosomal RNA
GGUCUCACUUUGACAUCGCAUGUGCUAAAAUUAGAAUGAUACAGAGAAUAUCUGCAAAAGAAUGACAUGCAAAUUUGUGAAGCAAUCUAAUAUCUU